UCUUCGAUGGUCUAGUGGUCAUGAUUUCCGCUUGUCAAAAGUUGCUUCUGACUUUCACAAGCGCGGGAGACCGGGGUUCGAUUCCCCGUCGGAGAG